rnacentral:rRNA from 1 species
UACAGAGGGGGGCAAGCGUUGUUCGGAAUUACUGGGCGUAAAGGGCGCGUAGGCGGCCCGCUAAGUCGAACGUGAAAUCCCCGAGCUCAACUCGGGAACUGCGUCCGAUACUGGCGGGCUUGAAUCCGGGAGAGGGAUGCGGAAUUCCAGGUGUAGCGGUGAAAUGCGUAGAUAUCUGGAGGAACACCGGUGGCGAAGGCGGCAUCCUGGACCGGCAUUGACGCUGAGGCGCGAAAGCUAGGGGAGCAAACGGGG